rnacentral:lncRNA from 1 species
GCUAGCCCAGCUGCCACCAGGGCCACCUGGUGGAGGAGGGGGAGUUUGGCUGCCCCAUAGCUUGAAUUCCUUUAUUAACAUGAUAUUGGUUUGCAUUUUCUUUAAAUACAGCUCUUUAAUUUUUCAGUUCUACAACUACUUUUUAAUAUCUUAAUAAUCUUGACAAUGGACAAAAUGUAACUGCCCCAAUUCUCUGAACCACACAGACAAUAUUGACAAGCAGAGAAACAGAGAGGAGGGUGGGAUGGGACAAAAAUCUGCUCCCCCGAAAUCAAUCCUAAAACCACCUCUCCCCAAGAGUCACAGGAGAAAUACCUACAACAGGGUCACAGCACUUGCCAAACACAUUGGGGAAAAAUCAGGAGACACUUGGUUACAGAUUUGACACUAAAAAGUUUGGAAACAGUUUUUGCUUAAAAAGAGUAAGUAAAGAAGCCAUUUUGUUCAGAAGGAUUUCCUUGUAUGUUUUUUUUCUUGCCCAAAUAUUCCCUUAGUUCAUAUGGGGGAAACUCCAGAUUCUUCUUAAAUACUUCUUUGAAUGUUUCAAGUCACUGUCCUGAGAAGCCCAGGGACCGGCAGUGAUGACGGGUUGGCCUCGCAGGCUUUGCAAAGGCAGCAUGCCGCACUGCUUCUCGUCUCUCUUCUCAUCACCUUUCCCAUAGUUUUGAACUCUUGCAGGUCAGGAGAUGGGGGUGGGGACGCAGACAUGAAAGUUACUGAUAUUGCUGACACAGGGUCCACUGUAACUUUGGAGGUGCCAUGUGAGGGUCACACUCUAUGUGGUGACAUAUUCCUCAAUUUGCUCUUUCCUCAACGAACCCACAGGUAGCCAGUGGGCCUAUGCUUAAGUAAUGGAGCCAAACAGGAGGGCAGGAGGGUUCUGGGAUCAGCAGGACUCUCUAGCAGCCAAUCCAAAUGCCAAUCCUGACCAUCCACAGGGGAGGGAUUAGUUCAGCAGUUGACUAAAACUUUGUGAUGACUUCCUCUUCUCUCACUCUAAGGAGUGGGUGAGCCAAGGAGCUCCUCAUGGAAAACGAAACAGGCUUUUAUCAACAAAAAGUGCCAAGUCACAUUGCCACUAUUGACACUGAAGGGCCCAGUCUGCUUU